GACAGAGGUGCCAAGCGUUAGGCGGAAUCACUGGGCUUAAAGCGUGUGUAGGCGGAUGCCUAAGUACCUUGUGAAAUCCCACGGCUCAACCGUGGAACUGCUUGGUAUACUGGGUGUCUUGAGCCAUCUAGGGGCUACCGGAACAAAUGGUGGAGCGGUGAAAUGCGUAGAUAUCAUUUGGAACGCCAAUGGUGAAAACAGGUAGCUGGGGAUGUGCUGACGCUGAGACACGAAAGCCGGGGGAGCAAACGGG
rnacentral:rRNA from 1 species